rnacentral:rRNA from 1 species
GACGAACGCUGGCGGCGUGCUUAACACAUGCAAGUCGAACGCGGAAGCUCAGCUUUUGUUGGGUGGAUGAGUGGCGAACGGGUGAGUAACACGUGAGUAACCUGCCCCCUUCUUUGGGAUAACGCCCGGAAACGGGUGCUAAUACUGGAUAUUCACUGGUCUUCGCAUGGGGGUUGGUGGAAAGGGUUUUUCUGGUGGGGGAUGGGCUCGCGGCCUAUCAGCUUGUUGGUGGGGUGAUGGCCUACCAAGGCUUUGACGGGUAGCCGGCCUGAGAGGGUGACCGGUCACAUUGGGACUGAGAUACGGCCCAGACUCCUACGGGAGGCGGCAGUGGGGAAUAUUGCACAAUGGGCGCAAGCCUGAUGCAGCGACGCCGCGUGAGGGAUGGAGGCCUUCGGGUUGUGAACCUCUUUCGCUCAUGGUCAAGCCGCAACAAUGGUUGUGGUGAGGGUAGUGGGUAAAGAAGCGCCGGCUAACUACGUG